CCCCGUUUCAUACCCAUUGCGCUUGCGCGCGUCCAAGGCUACCAGGAAGCAAACCCGAAGCAGUUUGACUGUCUACAAUGUGUAGACAGAAAGCUGUAGAAAAUUGAGCCAGGAGCCCUGCGUGUGUGUGAGCCCACAUCAUGGCGUGCUGCCGGCUGUGCUCCAGACUGUGUCCCAGGCUGUGCUCCCGCUCCUCCGCGUACACUCUGGCCCUGGGCUUGGGCUUCGUCACCCUGGGCACCUCUCGCAUCCUGCUGCUCAAGUUCUCUGCCAACACACAGAACAAGUAUGAUUUCCUCCCUGCGUCUGUCAACCUGCUGGCAGAGGGGCUCAAGCUGCUCUUCUGUCUUGGCAUGUCUCUGAGAGUCAUGGUCAGAGACGGCCGUUCAUGUCGAGAGCUGGGCUGCUCCUCGGGCUCUGCCUUCCUGAGUUUCAUGAAGUGGUCCGUCCCCGCCUUCCUUUACUUUCUGGAUAACCUCAUCAUCUUCUACGUCAUGACCUACCUACAGCCUGCCAUGGCAGUGUUGUUCUCCAAUGUUGUUAUCCUGACCACAGCUAUCCUGUUCAGAGUUGUGCUGAAGAGACGCCUGUCCUGGGUGCAGUGGGCCUCCCUGGUCAUCCUCUUCCUGUCCAUUGUCUCCUUGACGACAGGGUCGGGAGGCAGCCAACGGGCCAUAGCGAUGCCGGGCCUCCACCCCAGCCCCCUCUCCCUACCCACCAACAGCUGCCUGCUCUACACACAGCUAGAGGAGCAACGAAGGAACGACAGUAACUCCAGCUCAUGGAGCUCAGUGCUGCCUGGACAGGCUGAGGUGUGGCGAGGGAGGCUGAUGGGGACCCUGCGCUCUCUGGGCAUGGGUCACAUCCUCCUGGUGCUCCAGUGUUUUAUCUCCUCCAUGGCCAACAUCUACAAUGAGAAGAUCCUCAAAGAGGGAGACCAGCUCCAAGAGAGCAUCUUCAUCCAGAACAGCAAACUGUACAUGUUUGGCAUGCUGUUCAACGGUCUGACUCUGGGUCUAGGGGGCGAGGCGAGGGGUCUAACCGUCCGUUGUGGCCUCCUUUACGGUCACAACGUCUACUCACUGGGACUGGUGCUGGUCACUGCUGCCCUGGGCCUGUCGGUGGCGUUCAUCCUGAAGUUCAGAGACAACAUGUUCCACGUGCUGACAGGCCAGAUCACUACAGUCCUGGUCACGGCCCUGUCCCUCUUCCUCUUUGACUUCCACCCCUCGCUGGAUUUCUUCCUGCAGGCGCCCGUGGUGCUGCUCGCCAUCUUUGUCUACAACGCCAGCCGGCCCAAAGACCCUGAGUACGCCCUGCAGCGCGAGAAGCUGCGCGUCAUUAACGGAGAGGUGCUGCAGAGGUCGCGAGGGAACACUGCCUCUGACCGCAGAACACUGCCUCUGACCGCAGAACACCUCCUCUGACCGCAGAACACCACCUCUGACCGCAGAACACCGCCUCUGACCGCAGAACACCUCCUCUGACCGCAGAACACCGCCUCUGACCGCAGAACACCUCCUCUGACCGCAGAACACCUCCUCUGACCGCAGAACACCGCCUCUGACCGCAGAACACCGCCUCUGACCGCAGAACACCUCCUCUGACCGCAGAACACCUCCUCUGACCGCAGAACACCGCCUCUGACCGCCUCUGACCGCAGAACACCGCCUCUGACCGCAGAACACCUCCUCUGACCGCAGAACACCUCCUCUGACCGCAGAACACCUCCUCUGACCGCAGAACACCGCCUCUGACCGCAGAACACCGCCUCUGACCGCAGAACAUCGCCUCUGACCGCAGAACACCUCCUCUGACCGCAGAACACCGCCUCUGACCGCAGAACACCACCUCUGACCGCAGAACACCUCCUCUGACCGCAGAACACCUCCUCUGACCGCAGAACACCUCCUCUGACCGCAGAACACCGCCUCUGACCGCAGAACACCGCCUCUGACCGCAGAACACCGCCUCUGACCGCAGAACACCGCCUUUGACCGCAGAACACCGCCUCUGACAGCAGAACACCUCCCCUGACCGUUAAUUUCCUGUCGAUUCUAUUAAGGAUUGGCACAGUUAAUCGACUAUCAGGAUAUCUGAACAUACGUUAGCAUUCGAUUACUUGAGAUGGGGAGGAGCUGGAGAGGCUGACCAAGCCAAACACAGACAGUGAAUCAGAGGAGGAGUCUGUCUAGCCUCCCAUUAUGACUUCACAAUGGCUCAACCCUGUGAUGUCAUCAGUAUGCCUGACUCUGUGACAUCACAAUGGACAAACUGUCAGUCCUGAAUUAUGACUUUGCUAUAACCUGGCCUGUGACAUCAUCAGCCUGUGACAUCAGAAUGGACAUGCUAUGUAUUAUGACAUCAGAGCGGCUUGGCCUGUGGUUUUGUUGGCCUACUGUGAUUGUCAUAAUUUAUUGUACAUCAUAGAUGCGGUAAAGAGGUCAAUGGAACUCGACACAAACAUGGAAAUGCAUGGGGGAAAAGAUCCUGAGUCUCUUCAUUGCCCCCCAGCAAAAUGAUCCUACAUUUAGGCUAUUGUUUAUAUGUGUAUUCCACACUACGGUAUGUUGAUUAUAAUGCGUGUAUGGAUGUCAAUCCCAAUACAUGUUCAUGUCAACACCGAUCAACUGCAUUGCAGUUAAAAACAACUUUGACUACCAUGACCGAUUUCUAUAUGCUAGCUAUGCUACCAGCUUAUACGAACAGGAGUUAGCAUUUAGCAGUCACUUCUUCUAAGCCUGAAAAUAAACAACUUUUAAAUGUUAUUCUGCGAAAACUGGCAAAUAUAUCAAAAUCCAAUUUUAGUAGCCACAUUGUGGGCAUUGUUCACAAAUAUUGACUUUGUUAGAUCAGACUUGUUGAAUGUGCGCCAAUCCGGCAUCCUUCUUUCCCCCAAGGUCUGCGUUCCAUUGACCUCUUUACCGCAUCUAUUCAGAAAUGUGCUUGUUUGUGUAUGAAAUAUGAUAUACAAAUAAUAUUGUAAUGGAAGAAAUGCUAAAUAUACAAUGUUGUAUAUGUUGUUGUAUUUAAAGUAAUGCUAUUGCUGUUAUUGACACAGUGGCAAGGGUUACAGAUGUUGAGAAGUUGAUAUCUGCCAGUAUGAUCUUAUUAUGUCUUUGUUUUUAUUAUACAUUUGUUUGCAUUAUGUGGCUAUUAAGAAAUCUACUCAAGGCUGUUGGAUGUUUGGGAGCUAAAUGAGUUUUUCUAAUGGCCAACUACUCAGUUUGUCUUAACGUUAUUAAGUACUCACAAAGACCAUACAGUACUAGCACACGGACCAUGUGAUUUCUUCUGGUCUCAGUCCGUGUUACGUUCAGAAAACCCAAUCUGACGGUAAAACAUGUAAGAUUACGUUUCACAUUACUCACUGAAAAAUAAUUGGCUUCUCUAGUGGUUUACAUGUGUUCAACGGUGUCCAUGCUUAUUGUGCCAUAUAAUUUACACUUCUAUCAUGUAUUCAAAAAAGCUUCUUGUGAAGUUAUGUUAUGCUGUAUGCAUAAGGCAAUUUACACCUGGUUCUUUAUAUUACUAUUCAUGACACAGUGCAUAAUUACAAUUUCUCAAACAGUCAACAGAUUAUCAAAUGAACAUUAAAAACUACUGCCAAAAAUAAAAAAAUUUGUCUAGUUCACUGA